GAUGAACGCUGGCGGCGUGCUUAACACAUGCAAGUCGAACGGUGAAGCAGGAGCUUGCUCUUGUGGAUCAGUGGCGAACGGGUGAGUAACACGUGAGCAACCUGCCCCUGACUCUGGGAUAAGCGCUGGAAACGGCGUCUAAUACUGGAUAUGUGAUGUGACCGCAUGGUCUGCAUCUGGAAAGAAUUUCGGUUGGGGAUGGGCUCGCGGCCUAUCAGCUGGUUGGUGGGGUAAUGGCUCACCAAGGCGUCGACGGGUAGCCGGCCUGAGAGGGUGGCCGGACACACUGGGACUGAGACACGGCCCAGACUCCUACGGGAGGCAGCAGUGGGGAAUAUUGCACAAUGGGCGGAAGCCUGAUGCAGCAACGCCGCGUGAGGGAUGACGGCCUUCGGGUUGUAAACCUCUUUUAGCAGGGAAGAAGCGAAAGUGACGGUACCUGCAGAAAAAGCACCGGCUAACUACGUGCCAGCCGCCGCCGUAA
rnacentral:rRNA from 1 species